UUUUGGACUUGCAUGGGGCCUGUAGCUCUUUCGCUUUGGCCAAUUUCUCCCAUUUGAAACGAGUGUAUUUACCCAAUGCCUGUAUCCCUGUGUAUCUAGAAAAUAACUUGCUUUUGAUUUUACAGGCUCAUAGGUGGAAGGGACUUGCCUUGUCUCAGAUGAGACUUUGGACUAUGGAAUUUUGAGUUAAUGCUGAAAUAAGAGUUUGGGGGACUUUGGGGAAGGCAUGAUUGCUUUUGAAAUGUGAGGACAUGAGAUUUGGGAGGGGCCGGGGAAGCAUUAUAUGGUUUGGCUCUGUCCCCACCCAAAUCUCAUCUGGAAUUGUAACAAUUCCCAUGUGUCAAGGGUGGGGCCAGGUGGAGAUAAUUGAAUCAUGGAGGCAGUUUCCCCCAUGCUGUUCUCAUGGUAGUGAAUAAGUCUCAUGAGAUCUGACGGUUUUAUCAAUGGGAGUUCCCCUGCACAUGCUCUCUCCUGCCCACCAUGUCUGACUAAAUUUUGUAUUUUUACUAGAGACGGGGUUUCACUAUGUUGGCCAGGCUGGUCUCCAACUCCUGAUCUCGUGAUCCAUCCACCUCGACCUCCCAAAGUGCUAGGAUUAUAGGCAUAAGCCACCACACCCGGCCUCUUUUUUUUCUUUUUCUUUUUUUUAUCUGGAGACUGAGUUUUGCACUUGUUGCCCAGGCUGGAGUGCAAUGGUGCGAUCUCAGCUCACUGCAGUCUCCGCCUCAGCAGGAGAGCAGGAAUCUUCAGUGAUCCACGGGCAGAUCUGCAGCCACUGUGGGCACCUGCUCCUCCCGCGACCUUUGUGCCCGCGUCUCUCCCUCCAGUACCUAUUGCACGACACCCCACGUCCGCCUCCUGCCAUUGCCAGCAAGUGCCUUGUGCGAGUACCUGGCUGUGCUUAUUAAUCCAUUAUGGUCGCUCUGUCACUGGUGCCAUUAUGUGCUCACGUGCCCACUCCCUCAGGUUUAGAAGGCGCGUUGCCCGGCAACAGAAGAGUCUGCUGGCUUAGCCUUUGGCCGAGUUGGCAGCUGGAUGAGGACGCUCAGAGCCCAGCUCUCGAGAGUUCAAGCAUCCGACGGUUCCCCACUGCUCCCAGGAGCGGUUACCCGGGCACUCUGUGCCCCUCAUUCCUGUUUGGGCCAAGGCUGAGGACCUGCGAGUAGGGCUCAGUUGCCUGGAGCCCCUUCAACCCAUCCCCCAGUUCACUUUGCUUGUGGGAUCUCCCCGUUGCUCCUGCCCCUGGACUGAGUGGCAGGUCAUCCUACAAGCACCCAGACACUCGACAUCAGUGGUGUCAAGACAACUCCAAGAAGGUUUUCCGUGAUCCUGCAAGACCUGUGUUCCAUCCUGGUGAUUCUGCCUUCAAUUUCACUGCACAGGUGCCAGCCACCAUACUGUGAGGGAGCUGAAGUAAGCCCACAUGAGGAAGAAUUGAGGUCCCAAGCCAACAGCUGCAGCUAAGAUCCAAGCUCUCAACCAGUACCAGUUCAUCCGUUAUGCACACUAAGAUAUGGAAGCUAAAAGAGGACUAAGAGGAUUCUGGGGAUAUUACAAGAUAUUGCAGACUAUCUUGUUUUCCUGGAAAAGGAUUUUACCUCAGUCGACUGAAUUACUUUUUUCACUGUGUCUUGCCACUCUUCGUGCAUGCAUCAAAGACCCUAAUAUGACUUCUGGUGGCCUGGGACUCCUUGGGAAAACAGAAAAGGGGCCACAAAUCCCAUUUUGGGAACAAUCUGUUUUACUCAUGGAACCCCUGGAAUUAGAGAAACCAUCAAGCUUUAAAUGGUGUGGCAAAAGGAGCUGAAAAUUAAACUGACCUUCUACUGCAUACCCUUAAAUUGACCCAGGAGGAGCCCUAGCUGCUAUUCCCAUGCCACGCCCCUCUCCAGCAGGAAGUAGCCAGAGUAAGUCGACGCCCAAUUCCCCGUAACAGCAGUUAGGAAUUUCAUUCCUGAGGGGGGUGUUUGUUAUAGGAGA
rnacentral:lncRNA from 1 species